GCUAGUGUGGUGUAGUGGUUUGAACUUUGGACUACGAUACUGGAGACUAGGGUUCGAAUCCCUGCUCGGCCA